rnacentral:sRNA from 1 species
GCCAUGAGUCUGAUAAUUGAGUCAGAGC